rnacentral:rRNA from 1 species
GUGGGGAAUCUUGCGCAAUGGGCGAAAGCCUGACGCAGCCAUGCCGCGUGAAUGAUGAAGGUCUUAGGAUUGUAAAAUUCUUUCACCGGGGACGAUAAUGGCGGUACCCGGAGAAGAAGCCCCGGCUAACUUCGUGCCAGCAGCCGCGGUAAUACGAAGGGGGCUAGUGUUGCUCGGAAUUACUGGGCGUAAAGGGCGCGUAGGCGGACAGUUUAGUCAGAGGUGAAAGCCCAGGGCUCAACCUUGGAAUUGCCAUUGAUACUGGCUGUCUUGAGUACGGGAGAGAUGAGUGGAACUCCGAGUGGAGAGGUGAAAUUCGUAGAUAUUCGGAAGAACACCAGUGGCGAAGGCGACUCACUGGUCCGUUACUGACGCUGAGGCGCGAAAGCGUGGGGAGCAAACAGGAUUAGAUACCCGAGUAGUCC